AUGUAAGCUCACAAGUUUGUGCGAGGAUAAGCAGAAUCAAUAGUUGGGGAAACAGCAAAUCCGUUCUAUAUAGAAUGAGAAAAUUAUUAAAUUUUCUUGGACUUGAUUGUGAAAAUUUUUCUUACCUUAUUCUUCAGUCUUACUGGAGGUCUACUGGUCUUUAGACCUAUUGUAUAAUGCCAUUUUGUGGAGCAUCCUUUCAUGGAUCAGAAAUUACCCUGGAAAACAGGAUUUCGUCACGCUUGCAAUGGAAAUGUAGAAACAUGAUUUCCGCGAAUCAUCCAGUAGCACGGCCAAAUGAAAACGAAAACAAUGACGCUGUUCCGUCGCCUAUACAAAGUUUGCACUGUAAAAAAAAUGUUAUGAAUUCGGAAGAUUUUUGUGCCCGAAAAAAAUGAGCCGAGACACUGUUCCGCGCAACUUUUGUCGUGUAGUUGUGGAGAACCUACAACGCCAUCUAGUUAACAAUCCACCUUCAAACAAUUGAGGAACCACACGUUUCGUUCGUGAUUUUCGUGCUUUGUUGUUUGGUUGCAUUGGUAAAAAUAUAGACAACUGUGUGCAGUGUGCUAUCGAUAAUAAUAAUUAUUCAGGAACAAAUCAUAAUUUUUUUUUACGACCGAGAUAAAUUAUUAUAAGAAGAGAAUUUGAAUUCAACAAACAUGAUUACUGAAGAAAACUUUUCAAACAAGAGACAAGAAAACAUUUGAAUUGUACAGUAUGUUUGACUUUCACUUUUUGUUGACUGUCACAAAAUGUUUUCAUUUCUUCAGGUAAGCCCCUAUAAGCAGCCUUAGAAUGUGUUUCAUGAAUACAACAACCACUGAGAUAACAUUCCAAUGCGAAGUCUGCAUAAUACUAGGUUACUGUAAACAAGUUUGCAAUAUCUUACCAGUUAUCACAAAAAAUUGAAUGGUGAAUUCAAAUCCAAUCUAUUUUCUCAUUUAAGUAAUCAUUUUGCUAAUAAACGGAAGAAAAUUGCUGCUAGCGCAAAACUUUGUUCGGUUGUUUUUUACGUUUAAUUCAGAAACUAAAUGGCCCAUGUAAAAUCAACGUUUAUUUUAGUGAUUUUCGUGGAUUUUUGAUAUCACUCUUCAAUUUUCAAUUUCCUAAGGGGAAAUUUCAUGCAAUUCCGAGAGAUGUUCCGAGAAUUUCUAAAACCAUUGCUUAAAUGAGUAAAUUAAUUG